rnacentral:rRNA from 1 species
UACGAAGGGGGCUAGCGUUGCUCGGAAUGACUGGGCGUAAAGGGCGCGUAGGCGGAUGGCACAGUCAGAUGUGAAAUUCCCGGGCUUAACCUGGGGGCUGCAUUUGAUACGUGUGAUCUAGAGUGAGGAAGAGGGUCGUGGAAUUCCCCAGUGUAGAGGUGAAAUUCGUAGAUAUUGGGAAGAACACCGGUGGCGAAGGCGGCGACCUGGUCCUUGACUGACGCUGAGGCGCGAAAGCCGUGGGGAGCAAAACAGG